rnacentral:lncRNA from 1 species
GGAGCCGGGUUGGGCCUAGGCGGCGGGGCUGUCUCUGGCUGCCGUCCAGCCCCUCCCGUCCGGCCGCCGCCGCCACCGCCGCCGCCGCCGCCUGGGGGUUGGUUGAGGCGGACGGUGGGGUCCCGGCCGGAGUGUGGCGCCGCCGCUGCGCGAAGACGAAGCGGGCAGGUGAGUGCGGACGGCAAGCACCCGCGUGCGGCCCGCGGGCUGAGGGGACGGGGUUCCACCGCUCCUUAAGGAGGUGAGGCCGAGCGUGCGGACUCCGAGGUCCGGUGCUCGGCCGCGACCGAGUUCUCAGGGCCUGGGAGGCUGUGGGCUCCGAGGCCCGGCAGGCCCGGUCCCUGAGGGGACUGGCGAGCGUCUGCAGCUUCCCUCUUCCACCGGGACGGGGGCAGGCGGCAGGUUCAGGGCGCGGCCUGGGCGCGGCCUGGGCGCCGCCCUCGGGUACGGCCGGGGCCCGGAGUGCGCGCGGGGCGCUGGGACUGCGUGCGGCGGGCUGCAGCCUUGGUUUCCUUCCUCCGGUGGCAGGCGCACGCGGCUUGGGGCCGAGGCCCCUCUGCAGCUCUCUGUUGCCCACGGGGAGCCCGGCCCCCGCGCCUUGUCCUCCACUGCCCGCUCGCAAAGGCGGGCGUAGAAAAUAGGUCAGGUUUCUUCCCACGCGCCCCUGGCCGAGGUCCACACGCGACGAGCGCGCUGCGAGAGAGAAGCGGUCCGUGCUCUCGGAGUUUGCCAUUCCGAUUUUCAACUCUUCCUUCUUGCGGCUGCAGCCUGGGCAUGCGACUCUGCCUCUUCUCCCCGCCUGCCACUCUUGGAGAAGGAGCUGAUUAGUGACGUGCGCCACUGGCUGCCGAGGGGCCUCACCCCCUCCGCGUCGUGUCGGGAGAGGACGUUGGUGCGUUUCUGGAGGGGUGCACGCGUAAAGAUGACUCGGGACAUGCUGUAAUCCAUUUCUAAACGAAAACGGUGUUGUUACCGAAGUAAACACAUUUGAACAGGAUGUUGACAGCCAUCUUGCCUUUGCAGACCCUUAGAAGAUUGAGGUUUUACUGAUAGAUGUAACAGAACUGCAUCCAGGAAGGCUGAGGCAGGGAAUCCGGAGUUUCAGGCCUGCCAGAGCUACAUAGGGAGACCCUUUCAAAAAACACACAAAAACUAAAACCAGACUUGGACACUGAAAGUGUGGGUUUUUCAUAUGUGAUACUGUUCCCAUUUCCCUUUCAAAGGCGAUGCUGAGGGUGUUUUUAAAAUGAGUUUUAAACAGUGAUAGUCUUGGGGAGUUUUAAGUGAACGCACCCUUAAAAUACAGCAGUAUAAAAGGACAUUUCCUCCCCAAGUUAAAAAGUUUGUCUAGACUCACUGGAACCUACAGUGUGUAUGUAGGCUCCUACCUGUAGAGGCUCACUUUAUAGAUGGGUCUCUGGGGCGCCAUGAUUGAUAUUUUGGUGGAAUUCCAGCCAUUUGGGAAGGAGUUUUUCUAGGGCUUAAGAAAACAGUUUGCAAAACCAAGUUCUGAAAAGCUACAGAAAAAAAGAACAUCUUACUGGGACUCUAAACAACCUUGGUCUUUAUUGCCCCUACCUUCUUUUUACCGUGCGUUCCUUUCUCUUUUGAGAUAUUACUAAUAUCUGGAUAUGCAACUCUAGUUCCCUUGGAGGGAAGUAGUUGCUAUUUCUCCCUCCUUUUUCACUGUGCAAACAUCUCAGUGGAGCUAUGCUGGACUUGAAGAUCCAAACAUUGUGCUGAUGUGGGUUCUAGCAAUGAGGGUUUCUGUUCCUUUUCUGUUUAUAAAUGUCCAGUAAAAUUCUCACUGAAAUGCUGUUAGCUGGGCCUUGUGGCAUAGCUAACAUUAGCCCUUGCUACUCAGGGGCCUGAGGCAGGAGGAUCUUAGGUUUAAAGCUAGCCUAGACUGUGUGAGAGACCCUGACUGGCUGGGGAUCUAGCUCAGUGUUAGAGUGUUUGCUUAUUGUGUGAGAAGGCCUGAAUUCCAUCUUCAGUACAAACAUAUCAUUGUCAUUGACUAUCUUUUUUAUGUGAUGCAUAUUUAGGCCAAAUUUAAAGAUGAUUAAACCAUUUCUUUAGAAGCCAUGUGAUUAUAAGACAAUGAGGAGGCAAUAUUCAGUUUUUUAUUGUUAUUGUUCCAUAGGUCAACCACUAGAAAACUGUUUCUAUGUUCAGCACUGUGGUGAACAGUCAGUAACCUAAAUCUUGAUCACCUAAAAGAGAAUGUUAAAGAUGACUGUGCUCAACAUAGUUGCACCAGGAACACAUAGAGUAGGUUUGCUUGUAGUAAAUCUAGGAGAGUCCCCAGUCCACAGAGGUUGUCCUUAUCCCCACCCUUAACUGCUUCAGACCUUAUAUGCAGUGGGGAAGUAUUUGCAUCUAACUUGCACACUAACCUCUCUCAAGGUUUGAGUUGUCUGUAUAUUGCUUCCAGUACUUAUUACAAUGUCUCUGCCAUGCAAAUAGUUGUCACAUUGUGUCCUUCAGGGAGUAGUCACCAGAAGAGCUUUGUAUUAUAUGUUCAGUAGUGGUGAACUUUGUCUGUCCCCUUACCUAUUUCCACCUGCUGGUGGCUGAAUCUGCAAUGGAACAUUGGACUGAUUGAUGCUGUGAGGAUGGAAUGUUUGUAAAACUGUGAGUGAAAUACACUAUGGCCCCUGCAAGCAGGGCGAGCGAGGCUUUCCAAGUUUCUGAACUGUUUUACUUACAGAGUCUGUCUCAGUUUGACUCAGAAGUAGCUGCUAGAAAUGGAACUGUGUUUGUUGUGUGUAGUUUGCUGGAAAGUUCCCAUCUUGAGAAAGUGGUGGCCUGCUAUUGGCUACUGAGCCUGGUGAUUUUCCUGGAGCAGACGAAUUUCAGUGUGUUUCCUCUUAGAGCAAAGUCCUGGGAAUGGAGGCAAGCUGUGUUGUUCUAAAGAAGCAGAGGAACCAUUUGUUACAAUUAGAUUAUUUUAACACAACAGUGAAUAUAUUGUUCUGCUGCAAAGAGCAGCUGUGGCCAGGUAUUUGCUUUUUCAAUUAGCUCAUGAUUUUCACUAUUAUGUUUGGACUCACUUUCUGUUAGAGGAGGAUAUUUGGAAUUGCUGUGUGGCCUUUUACUUCUACUAUAAUGAGACUAAUUCGUUCUGGUUUGUAUUCACCACUUGAGAUUAUUAAUUAUAGUAAAGGUCUCUUAUUUUUCAGGGUUUCUGGUUUGCACCUUUGCUACUUUAUUUCACAAAAUUGAUUUCUUCCAUUGGUUUUCGUUUUAUCUCUUCCUUAUCCUUAAGAUUGGAGUUAUUAAUCAUUUAGAAAUAAAAAUAUUAAUUCUACAGUAAUUUCUCUCUUGGUUAAACAUUCUAACAACCUUUUGAUUCUUUAAAUUUUUUGAUUAAAAAAUUAGUGUGUGUGUUAAGUAUGUAUUCCUGGUCUCAUGAAGGUC